rnacentral:rRNA from 1 species
UACAGAGGGUGCAAGCGUUAAUCGGAAUUACUGGGCGUAAAGCGUGCGUAGUCGGUUAUCUAAGUCGGAUGUGAAAUCCCCGGGCUCAACCUGGGAAUUGCAUUCGAUACUGGAUAGCUAGAGUUCGGCAGAGGGAAGUGGAAUUUCGGGUGUAGCGGUGAAAUGCGUAGAUAUCCGAAGGAACAUCAGUGGCGAAAGCGACUUCCUGGACCAGCACCGACGUCAGGCACGAAAGCGUGGGGAGCAAACAGG